CCUACGGGUGGCAGCAGUAGGGAAUAUUGCUCAAUGGGGGAAACACUGAAGCAGCAACGCCGCGUGGAGGAUGAAGGUUCUCGGAUUGUAAACUCCUUUUGUUAGAGGAGUUAAUGACGGUAUCUAACGAAUAAUCAACGUCUAACUCCGUGCCAGCAGCCGCGGUAAUACGGAGGGUGCAAGCGUUAUUCGGAAUCACUGGGCGUAAAGAGGGCGUAGGCGGGAUAGCAAGUCAGAUGUGAAAUCCUAUGGCUUAACCAUAGAACUGCAGUUGAAACUGUUAUUCUUGAGUACGGGAGAGGUAGGCGGAAUUCGUGGUGUAGGGGUAAAAUGCGUAGAGAUCAAGAGGAAUACUCAUUGCGAAGGCGACAUGCUAGAACAUAACUGACGCUGAUGCGCGAAAGCGUGGGGAGCAAACAGGAUUAGAUACCCUUGUAGUC
rnacentral:rRNA from 1 species